rnacentral:miRNA from 2 species
GAAUGACGUCCGGUCUGAAGA